GGGGGGGUGAGAAAAAAAAGUUAGUGGAAUUUUUUUUGGAUAAUACGUUUUAUUGUUAAAAUAUUAUGUUGUUAUGUUCAAUAAAAUUAUUUUUUUAAAAAAAACUUGCAAAAUUUUUUCGACAACUGGAACGCUCACUUCCGGGUUUGCAACGUUUGGGUUCUAAGUUGUUCAUGAACUAGGCUGUUCGAGAACCAAGGUACCACUGUAUUCUUUUCUGAUAGAUUACUGCAAGUUUGGGACCACAUUGGUGCUAUUUGUGAAGCUAAGAUGUUUGGUCCCAAUGUGCGCUGCUUUACAUUGUUCUACAUUUGCUGUGUUGUGGCCUGUUUGCGUUCUUCGGAGACAUUCUUUUGGAACAGUCCUCUGAUCAUAGGGAAUCAAGGUCUGCUUAUUAGUAACCAUUUGCUGGUAUCCAUUUUGUUCAUUAGGAAGGACAGUGACCAGGCAGCAUCUAUGCAAAAGCUUCAGUCUGUUCAGGGAAAUGUAAGUAUAUAAUAAUCGCUUUGCCACUAUUGAUUCAGGUUUCAUUUAUCUGUUUUCUUUUUUCAUCAUCUGUUUAAACAGCAAGGGUGCAGUCUGCUCAGGAAAGUGCCUUGUGUGAAGAAGCACUGCAAGAAGACAGUGCUCUUGCACAGCUCUCAUUCAUUUCCAUAGAACUUCAGCAGGAGAACUUCUUGCUCUUUUUGGUCUAGUUUGUAAAGCAGUGCAGUUGUGCCAAGGCCUGAAUAUAGGGGACUUUUCUGACAAUUAAAGAGAUUGGCAGUCAAGACUUUGAAAUAAAAUGCCAAUAGAAGAAGGCAUUUUUUAAAAAAUUGCCUUGUCACAAAAGAAAGUUCAGCAUCAACUCUCUUAUUAAGAAUGAUGAACACAUUUCAACAGCCACUCUACUUUUACUUGGAAAAAGAAAGAAAGAAAGAAGCUAUUACAUGUUUGGACUUCAAUCACAACAUGAAAAAUGGAAUAUUUGUGGUGGUUGCUAUUUUGACAUCUUUUCUAAUGUUUUUAAGUUGGAUAUUUUUGUGCUUCUGGACCCUAAAUAUUUUAUCUUCUGAAACUUUCACAAAGCACAUUUUAUGGCUGGUCUGUUAAAAAUUAAAUUCUUUGUAAUACAGUGUUAAAACUGAAUGUCUGGUUCAAUCAAAGUAUCUGCUGAUCAGUUCAGUAGAAGUUCUUUACCAGACUCUUCUCUUCCCCUCCUCUCUUUAUGGCUGAAAUGGCUGUUCUUUGGGUCAGUUCUCAUGUCUGCCUUUCACACCACUGCAAGUACGUGAAAAGUUGUAAGAAUCUGAUGUAUUUCAGUGACUGAAAAGGAUGACGAGAACUAAGGUUUUGCCUGCGUUGCUUGGUCAAUUAGCAGCUAAGGCUGUAAUAGUGCAAUGGGUCGUGAAUGUGGUUAAACCUGCCCUGCGCCCACCUCUCACCUCUUUCAGUGCCUGAUUUCACGGCAGAUGUUCUCUGGUUUCAUAGCAACCUUGGAUAUGCAGAUUGGCAAAGCCCUUUUUGGCUGUCACUUGCUUAUUUCCUCCUUUAUUCCUUUAAAAAGUCUUGCCUGCCUUAGUCUGGGGCAGCAGAGCCUCAGUUCAGAGAUCUGAAUUUCAAGGUUCAUGAGCAACUUGCAUGAAAUUUAACCUCAUCUAUGUUAGUACCUCACAGGCUAGCAAUUGCUUGUUUUUUUUUAGUCUUGGUUGUUUCAACAGUCCUAUAACCUUUUAAUUAGAACAAGAUGGACAAUACUUCAUCUUUACAUAUGUGAUACUGGAACAACUAGGGCAUUCAUAUUCCAGGGUACUACCAUGCGUGUUUGUUCAGAACUAAGUCCUGUUAUUUGGUGGUCUUUGUUCCCAGAAAAGUAUAAGAUUGCAACCUAGGGCCAGAACAGAUGAGAAGCCGCUCUUGCCAUUAGGAAAAAUGUGGAUGGCUUUUAAAAAGUGAAACUGUCAAUUGUGUGAAUAUUGUCUUGUCUGAUUUGGCCCUUUCUCUGACAUCAGGAAGAAAUGUUCUUUGGAAUGGACUGGCCUAGCAAAAAUGGAGGAUUUGAAAUCUGUACAGCUUUAUAAGCACAUUAGAUAUGGCAUAAAUGUUGUUAAGGUAAAGUACCCCUGGACAGUUAAGUCCAGUCAAAUUUGACUAUGGGGUGCAGUACUUAUCUCCACUUUCAGGCCAAGGGAGCCAGCGUUUCUCCACAGACAGCUUUCCAGGUCAUGUGGCCAGCAUGACUAAACCACUUCUGGUGCAACAGGACACCAUGGUGGAAAGCAGAGUGCACGGAAAUGGCAUUUACCUUCCUGCUGCAAUGGUACCUAUUUAUCUAUUUUGUGCUGGUAUGCUAUCAAAUUGCUAGAUGGACAGAAGCUGGGACAGAGCAAUGGGAGCUCACCCUGUCGUGCGGAUUUGAACUGCCCACCUUACGAUCGGCAAGCCCAAGAUGCUCUGUGGUUUAGACCAUAACGCCACCUGCGUCCCUAGGAAAUAUUGUAAUGUUUUGUCUCCAGAGGAUCCUGUAAACAGAACACUUUGUACAGUAUAGCCAUAUGAUUAGUUCCUCUAAAUUGUAUUUUGUUCAUAAUAUAGACACUGUUUUAUUUUAAAAGGCUAAUUUUUAGUAAAUUGCUAAUUGUAUUGCAAGUUUCAUGGUAAUUCCUUUUCCAGUACACUCCAAAUGCUGCUUUUUGAAGGGAACCAAUGUUCCAUUAAGUCCAGAUGUGGUUGGGCAGGUGGUAGAAGGCACUGGAAUCUUAGUUGCAGCAUCAGCGGGAUGCCAUAAGCCUUAGAGAUGCAUGAACAACUCUCAUGAGAAAGCUGGAGCUGCCCUUGUUACAUUGCCACUUUAACUGAGCCUCUGCCUGGCUAUGCCUUGCUUCUCAUCCUGCUCAACAGUUAAAGGACUCCCACCCAAUGGAGCCAGUUCUGUGUCAAGUUAUUCACAGGGAGAGUGUCUGGGACUGGGCAGAGAAGGAAUGGUGGAGACCGCCUCCCCAUCCUGACCUUUCCAGGGAGGAGGAAGAGGAAGACAAUAUAGAUUAACAGCAGGGGUUUGAGGGAGGUCACAGCUCAGAGGCAGAUGAGGGGGAAAGCUGGGAAAUAAUCGGAGAGCCAGAACAACACCUGGCUGACACGGUGUCUUUAGAAAGCAUUCCAGACCCUUCCUCUCCCAGAACCUGGCGAGCCUUAAAAGUAGGAGAGCAAAGAGCUCAAAGACAGAGGGCAUGUAGCAGUACUUGUAUAGGAGAUGAAUGAGGAAGUGGGAGAGAUGGGUGUGUGUGGGGGAAAUCACUCAGGACAAUGCCAUUAUCCAAGAGGCUGGGUUCUAUAGCCUCUCUCUGUAAAGACUGAAAUAAAACAGGACAGUAAGAAACUUUUAUACUUAUACUUUCCUGAGCAACCAUCCAGGAGCCGCUGACAACAUCCUGAUGGAGAGGAGCUCUGCUAGAAAUGCUUCCACUAGGCCUAGUCAGAUUAUGGCUGUGUUUCUCUUGCCAUGCCUUACACAGUGUAAUCUGGAGCUCUGCUUGUGCAAAAGAUGUCCCCUUGGUUUCUUGGGAGUCUUCUGCUUUGCCUUGUCAACAUCUGCUUUUCUAUUAAACUUUGCUGCAUGUGGGGUUCUUCCAUUACCUCUUCCUCUACUGGAAAAACAACAACAACAGUUCAAACCCACACAGUACAUGGGUGGGGACCUAAGCAGUGCAUUCAAAAUAUUGCUGGUUGUGAUGUACGUGUAUGCUCCGUGUGAUGGGUGGAGGGAAAAGCACGGCUGCUUCUGCAUUGCAUACAUGCAUAGACCACCCUGAAAAGCGCCAGUUGCACUUUGCUUUUUCUAUUUGCCUGUGUCGGCCCUAAUCCACUGAAGUGUUCAUCCGUCAUCCACUUUUGAUAUAUUUUGAUAUUCUGAGGCACCUGCUGUCAGAAGCAGUAGUCAGUUCUCUUUCCAUAUCUUGUCUGACUUGGAUGCUACUUUGAGGAAGCAAAGACUGCAAUAUGAUUGUCAGAAUUGGGCUGUGCUUCUGGGACUAGGCACUGGUGUGUCCUGGCUGUGUCUGCCACAUCUUAAAAGAUUACAAAAAAGAGAACAUGUACUAUAGUGCAUUGUGGGUAGCAGGUGGUUUCAGUGAUUCUUCUCCAAGGCACCAGAGUUUGGCAUUUACUAUUAAAAAUGAAUACAUAGUAAUAGUAAGUUUGAGUUAGGGCACAAAGCGGCAGAGAUCACCACGACAAUGGUGCCUUGCAAGACGAAAUUAAUUCGUUCCGCAAGAUUUUUCAUCUUGCGGUUUUUUCCGUCUUGCGAAGCACGGUGUCGGAAAAGUUUUGGAAAAGCUUCAAAAAUCACCAAAGUCUUCAAAAACCUCAAAAAAGGCUACCACACCGCGUGCUAUGAGUUGCUCCUCGAAGUCAAGUCGCAACUGUAUUAAUGGUUUUAAGAAAAAGGAAACAAACUUGCAAGACGUUUCCGUCUUGCGAAGCAAGCCCAUAGGGAAAAUCGUCUUGCGAAGCAACUCAAAAAACCAAAAACCCUUUCGUUUUGUGAGUUUUCCGUCUUGCGAGGCAUUCGUCUUGCGAGGUACCACUGUAUAGAAGAGAGUGUCCCUCCAAUCUCCAAAGCAGACAGGAUCACCAGUGAGGUUGCUAUAGCCUCCCCUGUCCGUCACAGAAGAAGAUGCAGUCUGAGGAAGAAGGUGAGUGUUGACCUUGUAGAAGUUCUUGGUUUUGGAGACUGGGGUGAGUGGGGACUCAAGCAUUCCCAGGCAUAUCUGAUGAUUUUGUGUGCACCCAGAUGUCAUAUAACUCUAUAGGAGGGUGGAGAGCAGGGUUUCAGUGUCAGCUACAACAUCUGCUUAGAGCAGUUUCCCAAUCCAAAUGCCAGGUAUGUGCUAGAAGGAACUCUACACUUUCCCCUAUCCUGGCCAGUGGUUCUUUUAUGUCCUGCCUGGGUUAUGGGUCAUAACUCGCUCCCAGGAACAGGAGGAAUUUAGACCUGUUUCUGGGAGCAUUCUCCUUGAUGUGAACAUUGCAGGUUUCAUAUUUGAUACACAAGCAACAGUUUUGUAAUUCUACUGUUAGGAAGAGUCAUUGUAUGCUACAAACUACAAUAUGUUUUGUUUGGGUUUAUUGUCUGUGUUUAGCUAAGACAGGGUCCUCUAGGUGGGAUGGUGCACUUGCUGGCCCCAGUUUGGCUUGGGGUGGAUGUGAGGCCUGGGCAAAUAAAAGGGUAUUUUCAUCACACUUGAAAACAUUGCAGUUGGUGCCAGGCAGGCAGUACCUGUACAGAUGGGGUACCACAAUGCAUGUUCCCAGCUCAGAAGGUGGGAUGAUUUGUAGAAGAGCCUCUAACCCAGGGGUCAGAAACCUUUUUCAGCCAUGGGCCGGUCCACCGUCCCUCUGACCUUGUGGGGGGCUGGACUAUAUUUUGAAAAAAAAAUAUGAACGAGUCCGUAUGCCCCCCAAAUAACCCAGAGAUGCAUCUUAAAUAAAAGGACACAUUCUACUCAUGUAAAAACACGCUGAUUCCCGGACCGUCUGUGGGCCGGAUUGAGAAGGCGCUUGGGCUGCAUCCGGCCUCCGGGCCUUAGGUUGCCUACCCCUGCUCUAACCUAUGUAAUAAUUGGGCAGCUCUGCAGGCCAACCUGCAGAACAGUGAGACUGAAUGGAAAGAAAAGGGAAAGAGUGGGUGUCUGGAGGCGCAAUUGUAAGUAAGCACAAUAUUAUGUGAAUUUGUUGCCUGUUUACAUUGCAUAGAAGUUAGACUGAUGCCUUAACUUGCUGUUUCCUAGCUGUAGAAUGCAUGCAUGAAUUUCUAAGUGGUUUAACUCUUCUCUCAAAUGGAAGACUAGGAUAACAACCCCAGUUGCUUACAAAAACGGAUGCCUUUUGCCAUUGGAACAGCAGUAAGUCUUGCAUGAUGCCAACGCCAUGAUCAGCCACCCACUGUUCCCUGUCACUAACAUAAAAAGGUACUUUAAGGAAAAGCAAAAAUGCCAUUGUUGAGAAGAUGAUCUAGUGCCUCCCUAUUAGAUGAAAAAGUAUUUGAAGAUGGUGAAAGGGCUGUGUCAUAAUCUUCCUGUUGGAUCUCUUCCUGUCGAGUCUAUCACAGUCUUGCUGUGCGUACAGAAAAUGAAUUUCAUUAUGUUUUAUCUCUGUUUGCUUCUGUCCGUUUAUUAUUUUUCUCACCCGUGAUGUGUCCAGAAUCUUAAAGAAGUCUGCUACCAAAACUUAGCAGUCAUUUCUCAGGAUUUCCCCUGCAACAUUUUAAGUUAUUAACAAUAGAAAUUUAAUUUGUGGAAAGUUUUACAUUUCAGGCAGUUGGAGAUUGAGCGAAGGAGGAUAGUUCUAAGGACAAACCACACCUUUAAGGGGUCUUUUAAACUGGCUCCUUUUUCUUUAGAAUGAAAAGUACCAUAGCUCCUGGCCUCUGAUCUGGAACAGGCUUCUGAUCUGGAUUGAGGCUCCAAACUAUGUUUUUUCUGCACAUUCACUCCCUCUCAACACUUGCUCCUGAAAGUGCUGUUUCUGAAAAACAGAUCCAGAUAACCAGCGUCAUUCUGUUACGAGUGUGUACUUGGACUCCCAUGUGCACAGCCAGUGUGUUCAUAUACAUAUUGCUGAGAGGUUUCCAUUCUUUUGCUGGAGUUAUGGCGUGCGCUUCUUAUGGAGGUGUUAACCCUUAACUUUAUCCCCACAAGAAACUCUCACAC